rnacentral:rRNA from 1 species
AUUGAACGCUGGCGGCAUGCUUUACACAUGCAAGUCGAACGGUAACAGGCCUUCGGGUGCUGACGAGUGGCGAACGGGUGAGUAAUGCAUCGGAACGUGCCCAGAGGCGGGGGAUAACGCAGCGAAAGCUGUGCUAAUACCGCAUGUGAUCUGAGGAUGAAAGCGGGGGACCAGGCAGCAAUGUUUGGCCUCGCGCCUUUGGAGCGGCCGAUGUCAGAUUAGGUAGUUGGUGGGGUAAAGGCCUACCAAGCCGACGAUCUGUAGCUGGUCUGAGAGGACGACCAGCCACACUGGGACUGAGACACGGCCCAGACUCCUACGGGAGGCAGCAGUGGGGAAUUUUGGACAAUGGGCGCAAGCCUGAUCCAGCAAUGCCGCGUGCAGGAAGAAGGCCUUCGGGUUGUAAACCGCUUUUGUACGGAACGAAAAGACUCUGGCUAAUACCUGGGGCUGAUGACGGUACCGUAAGAAUAAGCACCGGCUAACUACGUG